rnacentral:rRNA from 1 species
UUUGCGGAGAGUUUGAUCCUGGCUCAGGAUGAACGCUGGCGGCGUGCCUAAUACAUGCAAGUCGAACGGUGUAUAUAAUUUAUUAUAUACAUAGUGGCGAACGGGUGAGUAACGCGUUGGUGACCUGCCCUAAAGCGGGGGACAACAGUUCGAAAGGGCUGCUAAUACCCCAUGUGGUUGUUCGGGAUUAGAAGCGGACAACUAAAGGAUAGCCCUGUGAGGGGAAAUUCGCUUUAGGAGGGGCCUGCGUCCCAUCAGCUAGUUGGUAGGGUAAAGGCCUACCAAGGCGUAGACGGGUAGGGGACCUGAGAGGGUGGCCCCCCACAAUGGAACUGAAACACGGUCCAUACACCUACGGGUGGCAGCAGUAGGGAAUAUUGCACCAUGGACGGAAGUCUGAUGCAGCAACGCCGCGUGAGUGAUGAAGGCCUUCGGGUCGUAAAACUCUUUUCAAGGGGAAGAGGAAGGACGGUACCCUUGGAAUAAGCAUCGGCUAACUACGUGCCAGCAGCCGCGGUAACACGUAGGAUGCAAGCGUUAUUCGGAUUUACUGGGCGUAAAGCGCGUGUAGGCGGUUGGGAUAGUUGGAUGUGAAAGCUCCCGGCUUAACUGGGAGAGGUCGUUCAAAACUUCCCAACUAGAGUUUGGUAGAGGAAAAUGGAAUUCCGGGUGUAGUGGUGAAAUGCGUAGAUAUCCGGAGGAACACCAGUGGCGAAAGCGAUUUUCUGGACCGAUACUGACGCUCAGACGCGAAAGCUAGGGUAGCAAACGGGAUUAGAGACCCCGGUAGUCCUAGCCGUAAACGAUGUAGACUAGGCGUUGGUGGAGUAAAAUUCAUCAGUGCCGCAGCAAACGCGAUAAGUCUACCGCCUGGGGAGUACGGCCGCAAGGUUAAAACUCAAAGGAAUUGACGGGGCCCCGCACAAGCAGCGGAGCGUGUGGUUUAAUUCGAUGCUACACGAAGAACCUUACCAGGGUUUGACAUAUAAGUGGUAGGGAAGGGAAACCGGACCGACCCUUCGGGGAGCUUAUACAGGUGCUGCAUGGCUGUCGUCAGCUCGUGUCGUGAGAUGUUCGGUUAAGUCCGCUAACGAGCGCAACCCUCGCUGUGUGUUACAAGUGUCACACGGUACUGCCGGUCUUAAACCGGAGGAAGGUGGGGAUGACGUCAAGUCAGCAUGGCCUUUAUAUCCUGGGCUACACACACGCUACAAUGGGUAGGGACAAUUGGUUGCGAAACCGCGAGGUGGAGCCAAUCCGUAAAAACUACCCUCAGUUCAGAUUGCAGGCUGCAACUCGCCUGCAUGAAGUCGGAGUUGCUAGUAACCGCAGGUCAGCUAUACUGCGGUGAAUACGUUUCCGGGGCUUGUACACACCGCCCGUCACGUCAUGGGAGCUGGUAACACCUGAAGCCGGUAGCUUAACCCGUAAGGGAGGGCGCUGUCGAAGGUGGGGCUGGUGACUGGGACGAAGUCGUAACAAGGUAGGAGUACCGGAAGGUGCGCCUGGAUCACCUCCUUU